CUUGGUUUGAAAUGGAACAAUCUUCAGAGAUGGGGCUUUGUGAAAACGAUGGGAUCCAGUUCUGACUUUAUCAGCAGAUCAAUCUACUGCUGAGCCUCGCUUACUAAAGAGGAUGAGAAAAUAUACUCUCAAAGUGGUGCAUACUUUGCCCAGCUAGAAUUUUCUAGUAAAGUGGAAAAAGAGGAAGAGAGAAGUUGCUGACGGACCAUAGUCUUCACUAGCUCUCGAAACUGCUGUAUCUCCAAACCCUCAACUUAAGGAUGAGAAAAAAAAAUUGUCUCAUCCUAUAUGGUUUGGAAGCUUUAUAAGUGACCAUACCAACCAGAUAGAAAUGGAGCAACAUGGUCCUGUCUUACUGAGAGGAGAAAUCUCUACUGGAACACUCUUUUCCCUGUCAGCUUAAUACUCAGGAGACAGAAAUGACCUCGAGUUAUGUUCUCCAAUGCAGCACAAGGCAGAAGGAAUGCUUCUCACGAGCUUCACCAAGGGAGACGGGUGGCAAGCAUCUUUCAGGCGUUCCCAAGCUCGCCCCAAUUUGUGGAGACAGCUCUGGUACCAUGGCAUUUUCUGAUGACAACAACUCCCGAUGCAGCUGUACCAAUGCUGCCGCUGAUAUAUCCAUUAAAAAAGAGAAGCUUGCAAAAUCCAGAUUUGAAAUUCAAUAAGGAAUUCAGAGGAAAGUCUUGCUUUCAGGCCAUCUCCUGGCUAAAUGAAUAAAUGAAUAGGGAAACUAUUGCAUACAAAAAAAAUGUCAAAAGCUACCAAAGGAAGCUUUGCUCACUAAUGUUUCAAAACAGCCCCGUCUGGAAAGGUAUGCUUUUAGACUAAGAAAGCAGAAAAAAACUAAUUAGACAAGAAGUAACCGUGAACAAACAUGUUAGCAGAACCAAUAACUGGAACUGAUCAGCUAUUUCUCUAAUUGUGCCAGCUGGACAGCUAUGAUGCGCUUAGCAGAGCAUAAUUACUAAUUUCUAUUCCAUACCCCAACCCUUUUCUCUCCUCUCCCUUUUGCAGAAAUACCCAGGCAUAUGCCACUUAAUAAAAUAAUAAUGACGCUCCGUAAAGGUAAAAACUGAGUGGGAAAAACUGAGAGCCUAUGUACGAUGACAUUUUGUGAAUGAUCAGGAGGUUGAGUGAGAACAAUCCUUAGUU